rnacentral:rRNA from 1 species
UACAGAGGUCCCAAGCGUUGUUCGGAUUCAUUGGGCUUAAAGGGCGCGUAGGCGGGCCAUCAAGUCAGGGGUGAAAUCUUUCGGCUCAACCGGAAAAGUGCCUUUGAUACUGGUGGUCUCGAGGGAGGUAGGGGCAUGCGGAACUUCCGGUGGAGCGGUGAAAUGCGUAGAUAUCGGAAGGAACGCCGGUGGCGAAAGCGGCGUGCUGGACCUCUUCUGACGCUGAGGCGCGAAAGCUAGGGGAGCAAACGGGG